rnacentral:rRNA from 1 species
AGCCUGAUCCAGCCAUGCCGCGUGUGUGAAGAAGGCCUUCGGGUUGUAAAGCACUUUUGUUGGGGAAGAAAAGCAUCCGGUUAAUACCCGGGUGUCAUGACGGUACCCAAAGAAUAAGCACCGGCUAACUUCGUGCCAGUCAGCCGCGGUAAUACGAAGGGUGCAAGCGUUACUCGGAAUUACUGGGCGUAAAGCGUGCGUAGGUGGUCUGUUAAGUCUGAUGUGAAAGCCCCCGACUCAACCUGGGAAUUGCAUCUGAUACUGGUGGGCUUGAGUGCGGGGAGGGGAUGUGAAAUUUCCGGGUGUACAAUGAAAUGCGUUUAGAUAUCUGGCAACAUCCCGAGGGGAAGGCGACACCCUGGACCAGCACUGACACUGAAGGCACGAAAGCGUGGGGAGCAAACAGGAUUAGAUACCCUG